GCGUAUAGCUCAGCGGGAGAGCAUCGGCCUUACAAGCCGAGGGUCGCAGGUUCAAACCCUGCUGCGCC
rnacentral:tRNA from 2 species